AACAUAUCUUAGGGGCAUUUUCUCAGCAUCUCUUUGUAUCUCUCCCAGGCUUCAUAAAGAGAUUCUCCAUCUUUUUGCAUGAAAGUUUGGAUAUCAUGUCUCAACUU